UACGGGAGGCAGCAGUGAGGAAUAUUGGUCAAUGGACGAGAGUCUGAACCAGCCAAGUAGCGUGAAGGAUGAAGGUUCUAUGGAUUGUAAACUUCUUUUAUACGGGAAUAAACGAAUCCACGCGUGGAUUUUUGCAUGUACCGUAUGAAUAAGGAUCGGCUAACUCCGUGCCAGCAGCCGCGGUAAUACGGAGGAUCCGAGCGUUAUCCGGAUUUAUUGGGUUUAAAGGGAGCGUAGAUGGGUUGUUAAGUCAGUUGUGAAAGUUUGCGGCUCAACCGUAAAAUUGCAAUUGAUACUGGCAGUCUUGAGUACAGUUGAGGUAGGCGGAAUUCGUGGUGUAGCGGUGAAAUGCUUAGAUAUCACGAAGAACUCCGAUUGCGAAGGCAGCUUACUAACCUGUAACUGACAUUGAUGCUCGAAAGUGUGGGUAUCAAACAGGAUUAGAUACCCUGGUAGUCCACACGGUAAACGAUGAAUACUCGCUGUAGGCGAUAUACGGUCUGCGGCCAAGCGAAAGCAUUAAGUAUUCCACCUGGGG
rnacentral:rRNA from 1 species